GGGAGCGUUUGCACAACUGGUGUUGGCCCAGGUCUUCAAAACCUGUGGCGGGUGUGAGCAACGCUCGCUGUCGGUUCGAUUCCGAUACGCUCCC
rnacentral:tRNA from 1 species